rnacentral:rRNA from 1 species
AAACGACUCUCGGCAACGGAUAUCUCGGCUCUCGCAUCGAUGAAGAACGUAGCGAAAUGCGAUACUUGGUGUGAAUUGCAGAAUCCCGUGAACCAUCGAGUCUUUGAACGCAAGUUGCGCCUCAAGCCUUCGGGCCGAGGGCACGUCUGCCUGGGUGUCACAA